rnacentral:sRNA from 1 species
GACUCGGAACCGUUUAACUCCAGUUUCAAGGGAUCCCGCGCCCUCUGCUGGUCUCCACUGGUACUGCAUACACACAGCUCACAGACACAUGCUGGCAGCGUGCUCAAACAUGUAAGAUAGCGUGAAUUUUAAGGAGGUGAGAGAGCCUCAGGCUAUGACAGGAAGGAACAAAGCAGCAGGGCUCUGAGGAGAUCAAGAAGUCUAUUGACAUCAUCAUCUUUGGUGAGCCAGAUCGGCUUGGAGAAGUAUUUGGGUUGGGGACCUAUGCAGAGGCUUCCGGGUGAGAACGGUGUUCCCCUAAAUUCAAAGGCUGCAAUAGUGUUAAAAGGUCAGAAUAACCAUUGUAUUGCGUCUUCCCGGGACAGAGAUGCAAUGCCAAGGGACCGCCAGAAAAAUACAGUGUUCAUUCGGCUGCUAUUUUGCUUCCAUUUGUUCUGUCUGUAAGCAUUGUUGCUACGCUAUUGGGAAAGGUGCUGUGCUGAUACAACUGACGUUAAGCUUUCGUUACAAAGAAGCAGAUCUUUAGAGAGCUGGACCACAAAACACGACUGGUUAAUUCCAGUCAGGAUCUGAACCCUGGUCCACGUAGCCCGCACACCACGUCCUCUGUGGAACCCUUCCUGCUGCCUGGACUGACGAAGACCACAGCAGUCUAGCGAAGACCCAACACAGCCCUAGAAGAACAGUCACUGGGCUGCUUACAACACAACCUUAGGGCUGUUAGCUGGGUUCACCUCUGACUCCCAGACCUGGAAUGUUAAACCCUGCCUACGUCUCUUCUACCCAGCCAUUGGCUAUCAGCAUCUUUAUUCAUCAAUCAAAAAUAAUUUGGGGGCAAGGUCACAUAGUGUCACUUGGGUCUACGUGCAGAUUUUUUCGGGCAACCAGGUCUUGGGGGCCUGAUAUUAGCAUCAGAAUAUAAGCUGCACCAGGCCAGCCAACUACAGAGAACAGCAGUGGGGGUCAUGAAUUCACUCCUGAGACUACAGGAUGAAGGGCACCUUCCUCUGUUUAACUUCAGCUUGAAAUUCUCUGCUACUGUCAUAACAGCUUCAU